rnacentral:rRNA from 1 species
CGUGUAGGCGGAUUAAUAAGUUUGAAGUGAAAUCCUAUAGCUUAACUAUAGAACUGCUUUGAAAACUGUUAAUCUAGAAUGUGGGAGAGGUAGAUGGAAUUUCUGGUGUAGGGUAAAUCCGUAGAGAUCAGAAGGAAUACCGAUUGCGAAGGCGAUCUACUGGAACAUUAUUGACGCUGAGAUGCGAAAGCGGUGGGGAAGCAAACA